CAGCCGCCGCGGUAAUACGUAGGGGGCGAGCGUUGUCCGGAAUUAUUGGGCGUAAAGCGCGCGCAGGCGGUCCCUUAAGUCUGAUGUGAAAGCCCACGGCUCAACCGUGGAGGGUCAUUGGAAACUGGGGGACUUGAGUGCAGAAGAGGAGAGCGGAAUUCCACGUGUAGCGGUGAAAUGCGUAGAGAUGUGGAGGAACACCAGUGGCGAAGGCGGCUCUCUGGUCGGUAACUGACGCUGAGGCGCGAAAGCGUGGGGAGCAACCAGGAUUAGAUACCCUGGUAGUCCACGCCGUAAACGAUGAGUGCUAAGUGUUAGAGGGGUUAAACCCUUUAGUGCUGUAGCUAACGCGUUAAGCACUCCGCCUGGGGAGUACGGCCGCAAGGCUGAAACUUAAAGGAAUUGGCGGG
rnacentral:rRNA from 1 species